AUUGCCCCAGUAACGGCGAGUGAAGCGGCAACAGCUCAAAUUUGAAAUCUGGUCCCCAGGGCCCGAGUUGUAAUUUGCAGAGGAUGCUUUUGGUGAGGUGCCUUCCGAGUUCCCUGGAACGGGACGCCAUAGAGGGUGAGAGCCCCGUCUGGUUGGAUACCGAGCCUCUGUAAAGCUCCUUCGACGAGUCGAGUAGUUUGGGAAUGCUGCUCUAAAUGGGAGGUAUAUGUCUUCUAAAGCUAAAUAUUGGCCAGAGACCGAUAGCGCACAAGUAGAGUGAUCGAAAGAUGAAAAGCACUUUGAAAAGAGGGUUAAAUAGUACGUGAAAUUGUUGAAAGGGAAGCACUUAUGACCAGACUUGGCCCCGGUGAAUCAUCCAGCGGUUCCCGUUGGUGCACUUUGCCGGGGUUCAGGCCAGCAUCAGUUCGCUCCGGGGGAUAAAGGCUUUGGGAAUGUGGCUCCCUCGGGAGUGUUAUAGCCCAUUGCGCAAUACCCUGUGGCGGGCUGAGGUUCGCGCUUUAUGCAAGGAUGCUGGCAUAAUGGUCAUCAGUGACCCGUCUUGAAACACGGACCAAGGAGUCGUCUUCGUAUGCGAGUGUUCGGGUGUUAAACCCCUACGCGUAAUGAAAGUGAACGCAGGUGAGAGCCCUCCAGGGCGCAUCAUCGACCGAUCCUGAUGUUCUCGGAUGGAUUUGAGUAAGAGCAUACGGGGCCGGACCCGAAAGAAGGUGAACUAUGCCUGUAUAGGGUGAAGCCAGAGGAAACUCUGGUGGAGGCUCGCAGCGGUUCUGACGUGCAAAUCGAUCGUCAAAUAUGGGCAUGGGGCGAAAGACUAAU
rnacentral:rRNA from 1 species